rnacentral:lncRNA from 1 species
AAAAUUGUUUCCUUUCUUUUCUCCUUCCACCCAACACACGAUAUUAAUUCUCUUCAUCUUUCCACCUCCACUCUACCGAUCAAGGCAGAGUUCUGCUCAUGUAAAUUGACAACAUAAUUAAUCUAGUGUAGGGCUCGGCGUUUAGGAAAAGAUUUGACAGGCGUAACCAAAACAAAUAGGCAGUUGCUUUCUGCAUCCCAAAAAUUUCUUGUUGACAUAUCUGGAAUGUUUUUCUACCUUCUCCAGUCCAGAAGUCACCAAAUCAGAAUGAACUUUUUAUAUCGCCAAAUAUGACUUUACAUUCCAAAUUGGUCAAUCCCAAAUAUGAU